UUAAUACAGAUGAACUCAUGAACAAGACAUGACUACACUUGAAGCAUGGUUACCAACACAUUCUCACUCCCAGCGCGUCAAAAACAAACGCUUGUUCAGCCACCCUCCACGUCAGACCCCAGACGCCAAAAGUGCCCUUUUUCGUUACUUAUGUGUGAAAAGGGGUUUUCCCUUAUUUGACUGCAGAUCCCAAUGCAGCGUUACACUGACGCGAUGGGAUGUCCGCAGCCAGGGCACCAAACAAGCUCAUUGUACUUCACCUUAACCUUAUCCUCUUAUUUAACCUUCCCCUCACCCCUAUCCUAACCGUAACCAUCUUGCUAGCGAACACGUUAGUGAUGUGUCGAUCACUCUAACAGGUGUACCGGGAAUUUCUCCUACCCCGUAAACCGUCCUACCCGUCGUUCCUGCUCAUGUGCGCGCAUGCGCACAACACAAAAAGGGAAGCAAAGCGCAUCCGGCUGUGAUUUCAUGCUACUCCGUUGUCAGAUUUGCAGGAAAAUAGCUUUGGUUAAGUCUGCUGUGGUUACUGGACAUGUGGUAUUUGGACAACACUUCUGAAUCCGCAGCUUCGGUGUUUUAAGGCUGUUUCGAUAUGGAGAAGAAGUGGGAAGAGAUGUACACAUUCAUUUCUGCGGGCUCCUACCCUUCAGGAUAUGACAAGGCUCAGAGGCAAAACCUCAGAAGAUAUGCCUCAAAAUUCAAAUAAAAGGAUGGAGAACUCUUUGUUGGAACCAGAAGAGUAGUAAAAACCAUGGAUGAUGCCAGGAAGAUUUUUCAUGAGUUUCAUUCAUCUCUAAUCGGAGGACACACUGGCACACACAAAACGCUAAAUGCAGUGUGUUCCAGAUUUUACUGGUUUGGUAUGACAGUUGACAUUAAAUUUCCUUUUCAGUUCUUUGUCCCUGUGUUCUGUUGGGUCUAUAAAUGUCAAAUAUAUGUAUCUGUAAAUAUAUUCAGUAAAUAUAUACUGUAACUAUAAUGGAGUGAGUUCAUUGUCAAAGUUUAUAUAGUCAGGUGUUCCAAUCACUUCAAUGGUGACAGCUGUAUAACUUAAGCACCUUGGCAUGCAGACUGCUUCUACAAACAAGUGCCAAAACAUGCUACCUUUGUUAUUAUAAACUACAAGCAUAAGAAUUACGUGCCAAAACAUGCUACCUUCGUUAUUAUAAACU